rnacentral:rRNA from 1 species
CUCGUAGGCGGUUGGGUAAGUCGGGUGUGAAAACUCCAGGCUCAACUUGGAGACGCCACCCGAUACUGCUCUGACUUGAGUUCGGUAGGGGAGUGGGGAAUUCCUGGUGUAGCGGUGAAAUGCGCAGAUAUCAGGAGGAACACCGGUGGCGAAGGCGCCACUCUGGGCCGAAACUGACGCUGAGGAGCGAAAGCGUGGGUAGCAAACA